UAGGCGAUGACAUUCGAGAGUCACACCAUUCUUACUGUCUUUUAACUGCAGGUAAUCAUCAAACAUGGACAGCCUUCAUGUCAUUCUUGUCCUUCUUUUAGGAGGUCAUUGGAUUUCUGGAUCAGUGGUGGAUUUGACAGUGACAUCAGGACAGAACGUCACUCUGAAUUGUGACUGUGAAGCAUUUUCUGAGGAAUAUAUUGUGUGGUACAGAAAUUGUACCCAUGAAAAUCAGCCUCCUCUUGUUCUGAAACUAAAAGAAGAUGCAUGGAAAAAAAUCAGUGACCGAGCAAUUUCAGUGAAUUCUCUAUUACGCUUCCACUUUAAAAAGAAUCAGUCCUCUGGAUCCUAUGAUCUGCUGAUCAUGAAUAUUUCUGAUUCUGAUGAGGGCCUCUAUUACUGUGGAACUGAAAAGGAACAGUGGGUAGAUGGCACAAGCGUUCAGGUCAGAUAUGACCACAGAUAUGCCAGUAUCGCAACAAGAAUCUUAAUCAAUUCACCUCACACAAGUCCUUGCCCUGAUUCCAGUCCUUGCCCUGACUCCACUCUUCACUCUGACUCCAAUACUCGACCUGACUCCACUCCUCGUGCUGUCUACGACAGAACCUGUGGUUCCAGUCUCGUGCCCUGGCUGAUGAUGUUUACACCAGGAUUUUCUAUUCUCAUUUCAUUUUUUUCCUUUAUUUUUAUUUAUCAGUUGUGUCGGAAAACAGAAAAAGAACUUCAAUUUUUUCAGAACAGACCAGAUCACAAUAAUCAAAGGAGACAGAAUGAGGUAAACUUUCUCUUCUUCAUUUUCUUAUCUACACUUGUUUUUGUUUUUUUUAUUGCAUAAACAGCUGUGUGUGGGUCACUAUUCAAAAGAGUAAUGUAAUACACAUUAUUAUCAAUUACUUACUAUAAGAUCAUCAAUUACUGUACAAAAUUACAAAAUGAUGGAUAAUUUUUUUUAGCUAGUCAUUACAAUGUUUUUACAUCACAUAGCUAGCAGUUAACUAUAUAAACCUUCUGUUACAGUCCCACACAUUAACAUAAUCUCUAUCCUAAUGGGAAUGAACCCAGGUGAUUAACUUUUAACAUAAAGAAAAGGAAAGGGGAAAAAAACUUUUAACAAAAAGCUGACAGCGUUAGAAAACAGACCAAAUAGAAUAGAAUAGAAUAGAUCUUUAUUGUCACUGUUACAAGAACAAUGAGACACAGUUUUGCACCAUGUAGAUUUAGAUUCGAAUUCUUUUAGGAUAGGAGAAUAAGAUAAAAUAGACUUAAGUUUCUGCAAAGUUACAUAAGUAUCUACACAAAAAAAAGGAUUGUUGUUGUGGCCUGGGCACAGUUUCAACUCUGUCACCACAUGCAUGUCUUUUUGUGAAAUAAAAAUAUCCAGUCUCUUUAAAAUCUGUAGACUGCUGUACAGUUUAUCGUUUCCCACCACAUACUCUAAAGUGAGCUCAUUAUACCACAAAUGCAAGGGGGGAUAAUUACUGAUGUGACUCAUGUGAUUACUGAAUUUAUUACAGUUAUUCAUUACAUUACUAUACUUGGGAAUUGAGUAGAACCAACUCUUCUCAGUAGUUCAGUUCCUUGGAAUUCAGUUCACUUCCUUGGAAAUUAACUAGUCUGCAGCCUU
ensembl:lncRNA